rnacentral:rRNA from 1 species
GACGAACGCUGGCGGCGUGCUUAACACAUGCAAGUCGAACGGAAUGGCCCUGCUUUUGUGGGGUGCUCGAGUGGCGAACGGGUGAGUAACACGUGAGUAACCUGCCCUUGACUUUGGGAUAACUUCAGGAAACUGGGGCUAAUACCGGAUAGGAGCUCCUGCUGCAUGGUGGGGGUUGGAAAGUUUCGGCGGUUGGGGAUGGACUCGCGGCUUAUCAGCUUGUUGGUGGGGUAGUGGCUUACCAAGGCUUUGACGGGUAGCCGGCCUGAGAGGGUGACCGGCCACAUUGGGACUGAGAUACGGCCCAGACUCCUACGGGAGGCAGCAGUGGGGAAUAUUGCACAAUGGGCGGAAGCCUGAUGCAGCAACGCCGCGUGCGGGAUGACGGCCUUCGGGCUGUAAACCGCUUUCGCCUGUGACGAAGCGUGAGUGACGGUAAUGGGUAAAGAAGCACCGGCUAACUACGUG